rnacentral:rRNA from 1 species
UCGGCGAUAGCAGUUAUGAGUACGAACGAGGGUGCGAAUAAAUCUCUAACCAGGAUUUUCAAGGGCUGUCAUGUGCGCGCAGGACACUUCAAAAACUAAAGUGCUUUGCCAAGGCUUCCUCCCUAUCGCCGA